rnacentral:rRNA from 1 species
AGAGUUUAAUCCUGGCUCAGGAUGAACGCUGGCGGCAUGCCCAAGACAUGCAAGUCGAACGAGAUGGCCCAGUGAAGGUUGAGUGCUUGCACGAGACUGAAUCUGGAUUCCCAUCUAGUGGCAGACGGGUGAGUAACACGUGGGUGACCUACCUUUUCGUUGGGGAUAACAGUUGGAAACGAUUGCUAAUACCGAAUAAAAUGUAAGAGUCAAUUUUACAUUGAAAGGAGCCUUUAAAGCUUCGCGAUUAGA